rnacentral:rRNA from 1 species
UGGGGAAUAUUGGACAAUGGGCACAAGCCUGAUCCAGCAAUGCCGCGUGAGUGAGGAAGGCCUUAGGGUUGUAAAGCUCUUUCACCCACGACGAUGAUGACGGUAGUGGGAGAAGAAGCCCCGGCUAACUUCGUGCCAGCAGCCGCGGUAAUACGAAGGGGGCGAGCGUUGUUCGGAUUUACUGGGCGUAAAGGGCGCGCAGGCGGCGGACCAAGUCAGGCGUGAAAGCCCCGGGCUUAACCUGGGAGGUGCGUCUGGGACUGGUUUGCUAGAGUUCGGGAGAGGAGAGUGGAAUUCCCAGUGUAGAGGUGAAAUUCGUAGAUAUUGGGAAGAACACCGGUGGCGAAGGCGGCUCUCUGGACCGAGACUGACGCUGAGGCGCGAAAGCGUGGGGAGCAAACAGGAUUAGAUACCC